ensembl:lncRNA
UAAUAAGACAAUAAUAUGAUUAUAAAACAAAGAGUUAUAACAAUCUGAAUAAUAAGUAAUGUGUAUAGAUAGAUUUAAUGAACAUUUCCUGUAAAUGUACCUUUUAAUCCAAAUUGAUCCAACCAGUUAUAGUUAAUUCUGACUAGUUACCCACAGUUUGGUUGCAGAUUUGUUUUAUAUUAAGAGUUACAGACUGAAAAUAAUUUUUCUAUAAAAUAAUUGAUACUGGCUUAUUGUUUACUUGGUUGAGAUUUGCAGUUCACAAACAGCUGCAUCUGGCAGUGCCUCUGGUGUGUCCAUUAUGUUUCUGAGGUCUGUUGUUACAGGGAUCUGAUGUGCUCUGGAGGACUGUGUAAGCCAAACAGUACAUCAUCCUCAACCCAACAUAUGUUUUUCAGUUCACCUCACGAAAACCCUCCUCCACUUGGAGCCUAUAAUGUAAUGGAGUGGCUGUUAAUCCAACCUUUUCAGGAUCUUUAGUCCACCAGACUGAAAGAUCUGAAGCUUGCCAAAGCUUCUACGCAUGUGCGGAUCAUGUUCUGUGCAUAUUUAUUUUCUACAUGUAGAGAAUAGGCUACAUGCGUAUGGUGCUUGUUUAAUGAAGUUAGAUCAAACUUGAAUAAAUGUCUGCAAGAUCAAAAUGAUCACAGUAUUCUAUAAAGAUUGAAAGGGGCUUCUACAAACACAUUCUGACCAGGCACUUAUAUUAUUUAAAUGCGCCUACUGCUGCAAAUCCCCUAUUUCAAAGAAAUUCCUUCCCUAGAUGGAACUUUCCUUUUAGGUUUCUCAUAUUCAAUUUGGAUGGGAACGUUUUGGUACCACCUAGAUGAGAGUAAUAACAAUAAAAAACUACCUGUUAAGAGAAGAUCCAUUUGUUAAGGAUUAAAAAAUGUUUAGACUCUUGCCGUUUGAAUAAUUGAAAUUCUAGACUAUGUUCAUAUUUGGACAGGCAUACAGAUUUGGGGUGGCCCAAUUAACUUAGGAGAAACGGUUAUUUUAAAGACAUAGAGAAUUGUCC